rnacentral:rRNA from 1 species
UGGGGAAUUUUUGGACAAUGGGGGCAACCCUGAUCCAGCCAUCCCGCGUGUGCGAUGAAGGCCUUCGGGUUGUAAAGCACCUUUGGCAGGGAAGAAACAGCCUGGGAUAAUACCCCGGGCGACUGACGGUACCUGCAGAAUAAGCACCGGCUAACUACGUGCCAGCAGCCGCGGUAAUACGUAGGGUGCAAGCGUUAAUCGGAAUUACUGGGCGUAAAGCGUGCGCAGGCGGUUCGGAAAGAAAGGUGUGAAAUCCCAGGGCUUAACCUUGGAACUGCACUUUUAACUACCGAGCUAGAGUACGUCAGAGGGGGGUAGAAUUCCACGUGUAGCAGUGAAAUGCGUAGAGAUGUGGAGGAAUACCGAUGGCGAAGGCAGCCCCCUGGGAUGAUACUGACGCUCAUGCACGAAAGCGUGGGGAGCAAACAGGAUUAGAUACCCUGGUAGUCCACGCCCUAAACGAUGUCAACUAGCUGUUGGGGUUUUAUUAACCUUAGUAGCGCAGCUAACGCGUGAAGUUGA